rnacentral:rRNA from 1 species
UGCUAAGACUGGAUAGGAAAUUAAAAGGCAUCUUUUAAUUUUUAAAAGACCUUUUUCGGAAGGUAUGCUUAAAGAGGGGCUUGCGCCACAUUAGUUAGUUGGUAAGGUAAAGGCUUACCAAGACGAUGAUGUGUAGCUGGACUGAGAGGUUGAACAGCCACAUUGGGACUGAGACACGGCCCAAACUCCUACGGGAGGCAGCAGUAAGGAAUUUUUGGCAAUGGAGGAAACUCUGACCGAGCGACGCCGCGUGAACAAUGAAGUACUUCGGUAUGUAAAGUUCUUUUAUUGAAAAAGAAAAAAUAGUGGAAAAACUAUCUUGACAUUAUUCAAUGAAUAAGCCCCGGCUAAUUAUGUGCCAGCAGCCGCGGUAAUACAUAAGGGGCGAGCGUUAUCCGGAAUUAUUGGGCGUAAAGGGUGCGUAGGCGGUUUGAUAAGUCUAUAGUUUAAUUGCAGUGCUUAACGCUGUACCGCUAUAGAAACUGUCUGACUAGAGUUAGAUAGAGGCAAGCGGAAUUCCAUGUGUAGCGGUAAAAUGCGUAAAUAUAUGGAGGAACACCAGAGGCGUAGGCGGCUUGCUGGGUCUUAACUGACGCUGAGGCACGAAAGCGUGGGGAGCAAACAGGAUUAGAUACCCUGGUAGUCCACGCCGUAAACGAUGAGUACUAAGUGUCGGGUUUUGGCUCGGUACUGAAGUUAACACAUUAAGUACUCCGCCUGAGUAGUACGUACGCAAGUAUGAAACUUAAAGGAAUUGACGGGACCCCGCACAAGCGGUGGAUCAUGUUGUUUAAUUCGAAGAUACACGAAAAACCUUACCAGGUCUUGACAUAAUUUUGCGACAUUAUAGAAAUAUAAUGAAGGUUAUCAGAAUUACAGGUGGUGCAUGGUUGUCGUCAGCUCGUGUCGUGAGAUGUUAGGUUAAGUCCUAAAACGAGCGCAACCCUUGUCGUUAGUUGCGACCACAUAAUGGUGAGCACUUUAGCGAGACUGCCAAUGAAAAAUUGGAGGAAGGUGAGGAUUACGUCAAAUCAUCAUGCCCCUUAUGAUCUGGGCUACAAACGUGAUACAAUGGCUUUUACAAAGAGUAGCUACAACGUGAGUUUUUAGCCAAUCUCAAAAAAACAGUCUCAGUUCGGAUUGAAGUCUGCAACUCGACUUCAUGAAGUUGGAAUCGCUAGUAAUCGCGAAUCAGCAUGUCGCGGUGAAUACGUUCUCGGGGUUUGUACACACCGCCCGUCA